rnacentral:lncRNA from 1 species
UCACAAGAAAUUAUCUCCUGGGCCAAGUUGGUGAUUUGAUAUCACCAUUUAUAUUCACUACAAGAACCAAAAAGGCCCGAUUUUCCAUGUUCAGUUCAACCUCUCCAGGAGGAGCCCUUCCUUGCUUUUGGUAGACCUGCAAGAACAAACCCAUUGAGAUGGCUACAGAAUGAGAAGGGAAGCUUUUUCAUGGUGUAAGAAGUAAGAAAAAUUGAUUAGGAAGAACUCUGUGGGUAAGGAGAAAGAAAACCUACUAGGAGACCAUUAUUGCAGUGAAGAGCAUAGAACAAGGCUCUCUGGAAACUUAAGGGAAUCAUAAUAUGCCUGAGAAAACAUAAACAAAAAUUAUCUUAAUGACAAAUAAGUGCUUCGGAAAUAAACAAAGGCCAAAAUCUGUUAGAGAUGGUAGGUAGACAGCUCUCAUAUUUCCGUGGAUUGCAUCCUCAUGAAGGAUUUUCAACUUGUCUUUCAUUUUGAAAUUGAAUAAAUAUUGGAAUGCAUUAUCAUCCACCCUCCCUACAUUCAUCUAUAAAAGGAGACAUGACAGAUGUAAAGUUCCUAUCAAUAUGUGAACAGCAGAGGGAAAAAUGAGGCUGCACCCUGAAUUGAAGUGAUCCUAUCUCUUUAAGCCUCUUUCACACUGGAGAGCUACAGGAAGCCUGAGUUUGAAAUCAUUUGGUCCAGACAGAAGAGGAGAAGCAAGGACCGAGUGUCAUGAAGAGGGAAACAUUGCCAGACUGUCAGAGGUUACCUAAUAUCCUUUGAUGGGUUUCCUCCUGUUUCCCUGAAUCUGGGAUGACUGUCCCCUUGAACUGCUCCGGUAUCUUAGCCAAUGGACAAUGUAUUGUUACUCCCCUCCUUAUCUAUUCGUGGUUUUUGCACACAUACCAUGAACUCAUAAGUGUUGAAGGAUCUCGACGUGUAAAAAUAUUUGUAAGAACAAGUUCAGUGACUAGAAAUUUGCUAGCUGGUUUGAAAUAAAGAGAUACACAUAAAACUAUAUUAUGAACUGGGAUCACCCAAAUUAUCUUCUGCAGGACAUUAUUCUACUAGAAAAUAUGGACAAAAUCAUAAGGACAAUUGUCAGUUUGAUGCUGACAAAAUUUUGUAAAAUUCCUUAUAUUAAAACCACUCUUCACUAUUAGCAGGAGACUACACAUGUUCUAAUGGUCUGAGAAAUACUGCAG